UACGAGGGGGGCAAGCGUUGUUCGGAAUUAUUGGGCGUAACGGGUGCGUAGGCUGUGCGGUAAGUCACCUGUGAAAUCUCCGAGCUCAACUCGGAGCCUGCAGGCGAAACUGCCGUGCUGGAGUAUGGGAGAGGUGCGUGGAAUUCCCGGUGUAGCGGUGAAAGGCGUAGAUAGCGGGAGGAACACCGGUGGCGAAAGCGGCGCACUGGACCAGUACUGACGCUGAUGCACGAAAGCUAGGGGAGCAAACAGG
rnacentral:rRNA from 1 species